GUGCUUGUGUUUCGCAUGGCGAGCACUUAUAAUCGUCGCGCCGGAGGGGAAACCCUUGGCUAUGGCGAUAAACGGUAAGUGGAAUAAUCGUUACGGACCCGGGGGCAGUGCCCGGCGUCUCCACCAUAUAACCGCCCCGCCGCGGUCAAUGGGGACGAAACAGUCUCGACGUGCGUGGUAAAGACUUGUCUUUUGCUCGGCAUUGUACCGCCGUUAUCGGGCUAACUUACAAGUGCCAAUGACAACUCAAAGGUGCUCGCUGUCGCUGCAUAAGCGAUAAGCGCGGUUCGGGAGGCACCGGGCAACAGAAGCCUCCCACA
rnacentral:tmRNA from 1 species